CCAAUUUUCUCAUAUACACACAGACGAGAGCUGCUUGGGGGACUUGGGAGGAAACAUCAAACAAGGUCGGCAACUGCUGAAAUAUAUAUACAAACCGGCGGCAACAAAGGAAGAGAGAAGAACAAACAAAAGAAAAAAAAACGAGGAGGCUGCCGGAAAUUGGUUUUUCAAUUGGAAGAACAUUACAAGUGGCUGACUUGGAUUCUCUGACCAAAAGAAUUGUUGUCUAUGUAAUGCACACAACAAAGGAGGCUGAAUUAAUCAUAUAAAAACACAAAAGAAGGGGCAGCUUCUGGGAGAGUUCGACAGUUUGAGGAAAUAAAGAAAAACGUGGGCUGCAACAUAUAUAUUUACACAAACAAGGGCAACUUUUGAAGAGUCAAAAAGAGGCAAGAAUUGAGGCUGCUGGUUGACAAAUAUAUACAUAUAUAUAUGCGCAGACGGAGAGGGAAAAAGGGAGAAUUACACAAACAGAUUUGGAAGGAAGAAAAGGCAAACACGAAGAUGACAAAGACGUGACCACGGCAGCGUCAUUUUGGAAAUUAAUUAAGCUUCGUCAAUUACUCCCGGUGAUGUCUUCCAAUAUUUUAUCUUGUGUUUCUUCCAUUAUUAUGAAUAGCUAAAUUUGAUUUAGGGCGAACAAUGUAACUUAAUUGGAUACCUUUAUUUCGUUGAAUUAAGAUUCUAGUACUUUAAUUUUUUUAUGUGUUGAUUUUAAUGUCGUGCUUAAUGCUUUUAAUUACUUGAUAACUAAUUAGAUGAUUUGUGAACAAUGAUUGCGUAGAGAUAUAGAUUAUUUGUUUAGACUACAUGUUAAAAUCUGGUAAAUUGAUAUAACGUGUAGAGAUACCUAUAUUAAUUGUUGCGGCCGUGUGUGAAUUCUUAGAACCAAUGUUGCGUUUAAUUAAAUUUAAUUUGCAUAGAAAUAUGAAAUUGAACUAAUUAAAUAGGCUCAACGAGAACUCGAGAGGGGUGAGUUGAAUACCAUAGAAGAAUUUGACCGAACAUUACUUUAGGUUGUAUGAAUCUUGAUUUACGAAGUAAAGGUGACCAUUAGGUGAAAUUGUUCCUCCCUAACGUCCUUUAUUAUUUGAAUUCUCAAUCAUUUUCUAUUGCAUCCAUUCGCAUUUUUUAGUUGUUAGAUUUAAAAAUCACAUUCAAUCAAAUAUAUAUAUUUUUUUUUAUUUAUAUUCCUCAAAUAGGAGUUAGGAAUAGUAAAUUGAGUAUUAAAGUAUAGUCCUCGUGGAAAUAAUAAUCCGGACUCAAAAGGUCCACUUUACUACUUGUUACAAUCCGUCCACUUGCGGGAUAAAAUCGACAACAGUGACACCAAACAAUCUAACAGUUUCUUAUGCAAACUGAAUCGUAACUACCGUACGCAAGACAUAGAAUAAUUUGAAAGAUUGUUCUAUAAUUAAUAUUAUUAUCCAAUAUUAUCUAUAAUAUAAAUAUUAUAUAUACAAAUUUAAUCAAAAAUAAAUCAUUAAAAUUAAAGAAUUUUGAAUUAAAAGAAAAAAAAGAAAAAAAUUUGCUCAUUUGGUUAAAAAAAUUAUAAUAAAAACAAAACAAAAAAAAGAUAAAACAUAAAAAAG
rnacentral:lncRNA from 1 species